rnacentral:rRNA from 1 species
GGCUCAGAUUGAACGCUGGCGGCAGGCCUAACACAUGCAAGUCGAGCGGUAGAGAGAAGCUUGCUUCUCUUGAGAGCGGCGGACGGGUGAGUAAUACCUAGGAAUCUGCCUGAUAGUGGGGGAUAACGUUCGGAAACGGACGCUAAUACCGCAUACGUCCUACGGGAGAAAGCAGGGGACCUUCGGGCCUUGCGCUAUCAGAUGAGCCUAGGUCGGAUUAGCUAGUUGGUGAGGUAAUGGCUCACCAAGGCUACGAUCCGUAACUGGUCUGAGAGGAUGAUCAGUCACACUGGAACUGAGACACGGUCCAGACUCCUACGGGAGGCAGCAGUGGGGAAUAUUGGACAAUGGGCGAAAGCCUGAUCCAGCCAUGCCGCGUGUGUGAAGAAGGUCUUCGGAUUGUAAAGCACUUUAAGUUGGGAGGAAGGG